AGCGAGCGCUGGCGGCAGGCCUAACACAUGCAAGUCGAACGAACUCUUCGGAGUUAGUGGCGGACGGGUGAGUAACACGUGGGAACGUGCCUUUUGGUUCGGAAUAACUCAGGGAAACUUGUGCUAAUACCGAAUGUGCCCUUCGGGGGAAAGAUUUAUCGCCAUUAGAGCGGCCCGCGUCUGAUUAGCUAGUUGGUGAGGUAACGGCUCACCAAGGCGACGAUCAGUAGCUGGUCUGAGAGGAUGACCAGCCACACUGGGACUGAGACACGGCCCAGACUCCUACGGGAGGCAGCAGUGGGGAAUCUUGCGCAAUGGGCGAAAGCCUGACGCAGCCAUGCCGCGUGAAUGAUGAAGGUCUUAGGAUUGUAAAACUCUUUCACCGGGGACGAUAAUGACGGUACCCGGAGAAGAAGCCCCGGCUAACUUCGU
rnacentral:rRNA from 1 species